AGUGAACGCUGGCGGCAGGCCUAACACAUGCAAGUCGAACGGCAGCACAAGAGAGCUUGCUCUCUGGGUGGCGAGUGGCGGACGGGUGAGGAAUGCAUCGGAAUCUGCCCAUUUGUGGGGGAUAACCUCGGGAAACCGGGACUAAUACCGCAUACGACCUACGGGUGAAAGCAGGGGAUCUUCGGACCUUGCGCAGAUGGAUGAGCCGAUGCCGGAUUAGCUAGUUGGAGGGGUAAAGGCCCACCAAGGCGACGAUCCGUAGCUGGUCUGAGAGGAUGAUCAGCCACACUGGGACUGAGACACGGCCCAGACUCCUACGGGAGGCAGCAGUGGGGAAUAUGGGACAAUGGGCGCAAGCCUGAUCCAGCCAUGCCGCGUGUGUGAAGAAGGCCUUCGGGUUGUAAAGCACUUUUGUUGGGAAAGAAAAGCAGCCGGUUAAUACCCGGUUGUCAUGACGGUACCCAAAGAAUAAGCACCGGCUAACUUCGUG
rnacentral:rRNA from 1 species